GCUGCUGUGGGAGUUCUGGGCAGACAGGGCGAAGAUUUUAACCCCUUUCUAGAAUAAUGGAAACCUUACAAAUACUGAUCCUCCUGGAUCUGAAUGAGGAGAGAGAGAAAGAGAUGAAACAGGAGAGAAAUGGGCAAGUGUGAUGAAAGUUGGUGCAAGUGAGAGAUGUCAGAAGAGACAUCCCCAAGAAGAGGUUCUGGCUCCAAAAUAGGAGGUUAUGAUAGAAGAAAUAAGGCAUGUUAAAUAUAAAAUACAUGGAAGGAAUGAGUACAGUUGGAGAGCAAGCACACAUAAAACACCAAACCAGAUACACCUUAAUACAAUCCAAGAGAGGAUGAAAGGAAGCUUUGAUGACCACAGCUGAACCACAUCAGUGACUGAGCAUUUACUCUAGAUGACACCAAAAGGGACCAAAAUGAAACAAUCUGUUCAGUCCCCAGCCUGAUGAGAACCUUCUCCAUCAGUCUGUGCAGCCCUGGCAGCUGUGGCAGAACCCAAACAGUGGGGACACACCAGAUCACUCAGGUUUUCCUGACAAGAGCCAAGAUCUCCACAAAACAAGUCAGCCAGGAUGCAGAAGAAACUGCCUGAAGCUAUUUAAAUGCAGAAAUUACACCAUAUUGUAAGUGGUAAGGCAAAAAAUAAGUAUUUUCCAGGGGUCAACACUGACAGUUGCUUAUUGCCUGAUUUGGAGAGACCAGUGCUUGAAAGGAUGAUAGAAGGAAUGAAUUAAAUCACAGUUAUAGGCUUAUUUAUUUUUUGUUCAUUUUGCAAAUAAAUGAAAGUUCUAAAGACCUCA